GACGAACGCUGGCGGCGUGCCUAAUACAUGCAAGUCGAGCGAAACAAUAAGAAGCGUGGUUUUUGUUGGUUGGCGGCGGACGGGUAAGUAACAGGUGGGUAGCCUGCCAGUAAGAGCGGGGUCAGGCCAGGAAGCCGGUGCUAAUGCCGGGUAGAUUAUUUUGCCGGAUGGAGGGAUAAGGAAAGCUGGCUAUUGCGAUCACGUGGAGAUGGGCCCGCUGCGUGUUAGCUUGGUGGUGAGGUAACGGCUCAGCAAGGCGACGAUGCGUAGCCGACCUGAGAGGGUGAUCUGCCACACUGGGACUGGGACGCGGCCCUGAGUCCUACGUGAGGCCGCAGUAGGGAAUCUUCCGCAAUGGACGAAAGUCUGACGGAUCAACGCCGCGUGAGCGAAGAAGGUCUGCGGAUCGUAAAGCUCUGUUGUUAGUGAAGAACAAGUAUCGGAGGAAAUGCCGUUACCGUGACGGUACCUGACGAGAAAGCCCCGGCUAACUACGUG
rnacentral:rRNA from 1 species